rnacentral:rRNA from 1 species
UGGGUACUGCGGAGACAUUACUGAUUUGCUUAAUUGCACCACAUGUGUUUUUUAUUGAACAAAUUUCUUUGGUGGCGGGAGCAAUCCUACCGCCAGAGGUUAUAACUAAACCAAACUUUUUAUUUACAGUCAAACUUGAUUUAUUAUUACAAUAGUCAAAACUUUCAACAACGGAUCUCUUGGUUCUCGCAUCGAUGAAGAACGCAGCGAAAUGCGAUACGUAAUAUGAAUUGCAGAUAUUCGUGAAUCAUCGAAUCUUUGAACGCACAUUGCGCCCUUUGGUAUUCCAAAGGGCAUGCCUGUUUGAGCGUCAUUUCUCCCUCAAACCCCCGGGUUUGGUGUUGAGCAAUACGCUAGGUUUGUUUGAAAGAAUUUAACGUGGAAACUUAUUUUAAGCGACUUAGGUUUAUCCAAAAACGCUUAUUUUGCUAGUGGCCACCACAAUUUAUUUCAUAACUUUGACCUCAAAUCAGGUAGGACUACCCGCUGAACUUAAGCAUAUCAAUAAGGCGGGAGGAA